CCUACGGGCGGCAGCAGUCGAGAAUCAUUCACAAUGGGGGAAACCCUGAUGGUGCGACGCCGCGUGGGGGAAUGAAGGUCUUCGGAUUGUAAACCCCUGUCAUGUGGGAGCAAAUUAAAAAGAUAGUACCACAAGAGGAAGAGACGGCUAACUCUGUGCCAGCAGCCGCGGUAAUACAGAGGUCUCAAGCGUUGUUCGGAGUCACUGGGCGUAAGGCGUGCGUAGGCUGUUUCGUAAGUCGUGUGUGAAAGGCGCGGGCUCAACCCGCGGACGGCACAUGAUACUGCGAGACUAGAGUAAUGGAGGGGGAACCGGAAUGCUCGGUGUAGCAGUGAAAUGCGUAGCUAUCGAGAGGAACACUCGUGGCGAAGGCGGGUUCCUGGACAUUAACUGACGCUGAGGCACGAAGGCCAGGGGAGCGAAAGGGAUUAGAUACCCCAGUAGUC
rnacentral:rRNA from 1 species